AUUGAACGCUGGCGGCAUGCUUUACACAUGCAAGUCGAACGGGCUUAGGGGCUUGCUCCUAAGUUAGUGGCGAACGGGUGAGUAAUACAUCGGAACGUACCGUGUAGUGGGGGAUAACGUAGCGAAAGUUACGCUAAUACCGCAUACGAUCUACGGAUGAAAGUGGGGGGACCCUUCGGGCCUCACGCUAUACGAGCGGCCGAUGUCUGAUUAGCUAGUUGGUGAGGUAAAGGCUCACCAAGGCAACGAUCAGUAGCGGGUCUGAGAGGAUGAUCCGCCACACUGGGACUGAGACACGGCCCAGACUCCUACGGGAGGCAGCAGUGGGGGAAUUUUGGACAAUGGGCGAAAGCCUGAUCCAGCCAUGCCGCGUGUCUGAAGAAGGCCUUCGGUUGUAAGGACUUUAGUCUAGGGAGCGAAAACUUAGAGGUUAAUAACCUUUGAGGUUGAGAGUACCUGAAGAA
rnacentral:rRNA from 1 species